rnacentral:rRNA from 1 species
GAUAAACGCUGGCGGCGCACAUAAGACAUGCAAGUCGAACGGACAGAAGUUAUUUGUUUACAAAUGACAGAUGUUAGUGGCGGACUGGUGAGUAAUGCGUAAGUAACCUGCCUAUCAGAGGGGAAUAACAAUGAGAAAUCAUUGCUAAUACCGCAUAUGCUCACAGUAGCACAUGCUACAGUGAGGAAAGGAGCAAUCCGCUGAUAGAUGGACUUACGUCUGAUUAGCUAGUUGGUUAGGUAACGGCUGACCAAGGCGACGAUCAGUAGCCGGACUGAGAGGUUAAACGGCCACAUUGGGACUGAGAUACGGCCCAG